GACGAACGCUGGCGGCGUGCUUAACACAUGCAUGUCGAACGGAAAGGCCCUGCUUUUGUGGGGUGCUCGAGUGGCGAACGGGUGAAUAACACGUGAGUAACCUGCCCUUGACUUUGGGAUAACUUCAGGAAACUGGGGCUAAUACCGGAUAGGAGCUCCUGCUGCAUGGUGGGGGUUGGAAAGUUUCGGCGGUUGGGGAUGGACUCGCGGCUUAUCAGCUUGUUGGUGGGGUAGUGGCUUACCAAGGCUUUGACGGGUAGCCGGCCUGAGAGGGUGACCGGCCACAUUGGGACUGAGAUACGGCCCAGACUCCUACGGGAGGCAGCAGUGGGGAAUAUUGCACAAUGGGCGGAAGCCUGAUGCAGCAACGCCGCGUGCGGGAUGACGGCCUUCGGGUUGUAAACCGCUUUCGCCUGUGACGAAGCGUGAGUGACGGUAAUGGGUAAAGAAGCACCGGCUAACUACGUGCCAGCAGCCGCGGUGAUACGUAGGGUGCGAGCGUUGUCCGGAUUUAUUGGGCGUAAAGGGCUCGUAGGUGGUUGAUCGCGUCGGAAGUGUAAUCUUGGGGCUUAACCCUGAGCGUGCUUUCGAUACGGGUUGACUUGAGGAAGGUAGGGGAGAAUGGAAUUCCUGGUGGAGCGGUGGAAUGCGCAGAUAUCAGGAGGAACACCAGUGGCGAAGGCGGUUCUCUGGGCCUUUCCUGACGCUGAGGAGCGAAAGCGUGGGGAGCGAACAGGCUUAGAUACCCUGGUAGUCCACGCUGUAAACGGUGGGUACUAGGUGUGGGGUCCAUUCCACGGGUUCCGUGCCGUAGCUAACGCUUUAAGUACCCCGCCUGGGGAGUACGGCCGCAAGGCUAAAACUCAAAGGAAUUGACGGGGCCCCGCACAAGCGGCGGAGCAUGCGGAUUAAUUCGAUGCAACGCGUAGAACCUUACCUGGGUUUGACAUGGAUCGGGAGUGCUCAGAGAUGGGUGUGCCUCUUUUGGGGUCGGUUCACAGGUGGUGCAUGCCUGUUGUCAGCUCGUGUCGUGAGAUGUUGGGUUAAGUCCCGCAACGAGCGCAACCCUUGUUCACUGUUGCCAGCACGUUAUGGUGGGGACUCAGUGGAGACCGCCGGGGUCAACUCGGAGGAAGGUGGGGAUGACGUCAAGUCCUCAUGCCCCUUAUGUCCAGGGCUUCACGCAUGCUACAAUGGCUGGUACAGAGAGUGGCGAGCCUGUGAGGGUGAGCGAAUCUCGGAAAGCCGGUCUCAGUUCGGAUUGGGGUCUGCAACUCGACCUCAUGAAGUCGGAGUCGCUAGUAAUCGCAGAUCAGCAACGCUGCGGCGAAUACGUUCCCGGGGCU
rnacentral:rRNA from 1 species